CCUUCUUUUUCCAAUUAUAAUCACCCUUUCUUGGGUUCUGGAUAAUCUUAAAAAAAGGCCUUGCUUGCCAAUUGGCCUAUCCUUAAAUUUGCUGGUGAAUUUGAUACAAUGGUUAGUACAAUAUUGGUUACUAAUACCCUUAUCUUAAUUUCCAUGUUGUAACUUUGCUAAAGGUAGAUUGGUCACAGAUAAUAGUAGGCCUCUAUAUUCUAGAUUUGGCUGCAAGCAAUGGUUGUCAGCAUGUGGGCUUGCCGCUUGACACAACGUAUGGAUUUUGAAUACGAGAAACUACGUUGGAGACCAAGAGAUUGAGAGAUGGAAGAGUUUACAGGUGUUAACUUCCUGAAAGGAUGGAAAAUGGAACGCUGGCUUUUAUUGGGGAUUCCCUCAGUAGACAACAAUUUCAGUCACUUGUGUGUAUGAUUACUGGUGGUGAAGACAGACCUGAUGUUCUCGACGUGGGACGUGAAUAUGGUCUUGUAAAGGUUCAUGGUGCUAAACUACCUGAUGGAUGGGCUUAUCGAUUUUAGAGUACCCAAACAACUACUAACUUUACUUAUGAGGACACUAUUUUGAGGUAAUUUAGUAUAAUUUUAUCUUCCAUGCCAUUUGAUUGGUAUAGGUAGCCUAAAAUUUGCUAAUAAGCGCCAUGACUGGCAGAGCCUUUUCAUUGUUUCAUCUCCAUCGUCUAUUCACCUGUAUACCUCUUUAUUUUCCCCUUUACUUCUUGAUUUCUCUCUAUGAAUUCUCCUGUUGGCAAUUGCAGAUAGUUUAUCCAUUUUUGUUCAAUUGAA